CAAAGAACUAUGCACAAAUACCGGUUGAACUUUUUGGGUUUGGAAAAGCAAAUGUUUGGGGAUUUAAGGCGUGAUAUUGGGCGGAGUGACCAAAACAUUGGCAAGGGAGCCAUCAGCAUCCCAGAUUCACAUUCACAUCCACAUCAUCGCCAGCGUCGAGAGCUCUUUCGAUCGAAAUAAAUUGAAAUCGAGUGCGAUUCGUCAACAAGGCGAAGAUAAAGAUUUCAAGGCAAUAGAACAGAAAAUCAAUGUUAUUCAAUCAAAAACCAAUGCAAAAUUGCUUCGCACUCUGACUGCUAUGUAAAGUUAGAGAUUCUACUGCUCCCAAUUUUAUUUUCCAAGUCCAAGUAAGUAUUUUAAAGAACUAUCGUGCUUAAGGCAUUAUAAUGAUUAUAAAUAAACUGAUUUGCUGCUGAUAAGAAUCGUGAAUUCAGCUCAUUAUAGUCUCAACGUACUUUGUGGGCACUUUGUAUUGCCUCGCUUCGGUUGAUUUUCGUUUUGGUUUGGUUUUGUUUUGGUUUGCUUUCUAUUUUCUCUAGUUGAUAAGGAUAAAAGUGGUUCAUACUCGAAUAAUCACUCGAACCUCAGAACAUAAGAUAGUUGCAAAUUAUACAAGGCAGAGAGAUUGAUAUUUUAAACAGUAAAUAAUAAGGGUAUAUACAUGUAAGGAUUAUAUAUACAUUCAAAAUCCAUUAAUAUCACAUAUUUCGUAUAUCUGAACAAUCUAUCGAAAAUAGUUGUUUUAAAGUACAUCCACGUGUUCGACAAACAGGGUAUCUUUAAGUCGGGCAUCUCGCCCAUAUCGUUCUCUGUUGCUUAUAAAGAAAUCUGUUUGCCGUUGUUUUUGCACAAACACUUACAUACAAACGCAGCUGAUAAGAUAGACGAGAGUCCGUAGAAAUGCCAAACCGAAAACUAUACGAAAGUACGAAAGUACGGGCAGAAGGAAGUGGGUGGGUGCGGAUGGGAUCGAAUUCAGCGCGUGCCCAAAUGUCCCGUUAAUGAAUACAUUUGUGUGAGCGCUGCGGUAUUCGUUUUUGUGAGUUCUGGAUUUUAAAGUGACCGCAGUGAGUCAUGCGAAUGAAUAAAUCACAGCGGGACCCGCUUUAAAUUUAAUCGUAUUUCAUCAUAGAAUGGAAUAUAUUGCACAGUAUUUACAUACAUUUAUACAUUUAUAUGCAUUUUUCAUCUCGAUUCGUUGAAAAGCCGAGAUCUUUACAGAAACCUUAAAAGCCGCCGGCUUAGUAUUCAAAAAGCAAGGUCAAGUUCAAAGAUAUGCACUUUGUUUUUCAAUGCAGUUCUCUUCUCUUUUGAACCAUACUGCGUUUGGUAUAGAGGGUAAUUUAAGGAAUCGUGUCAUACAUAUGUAUAAUCCUUUCCAAUAUAGACAAAAUGAUCUGUAGAUUCGUGUAGAUUUGGUCCAUUAAGGGCAGGCAAUCCAAGCCGGACGCAUCGGAGAAAGUUUUUUGGGAAGAAAAAGAGAGCUGGGCUCUGUUUCGAAGAAUGGAGCAUAGAGAGAGGCUAAAACGGCGCCGUAGAAAUGGCCAGCGAUGGAGUGAAAGGGAUGGCAAUGUCUAAUUUUCUUUAUUUCCCAAUGCAUUUGUGUUUGUUGAUGCGCCAAACCCAUCGAGCUCUUGACCAUCCAUUGUUGGCAAACUUGUUUGACGCCCCCCUUCCUACUUUCACCCGCCGCUCUUUCUCCGGCGAUAAUUUGGCUCUUUCUCCAGCCGAAAGAGCCUGGUAAUUGAGAGUGGCUAAGUGGGAUACCUUUCGACUUUUGCGGAGCGCGAGAUUUUUUUUGGCACUCCGAAGAGCCGGACGCGUCGAACUUUCGGAACGGAAAUGGAAACGGACACACAUGACGGCCAACAGCACUGAGCGAUAAGAUAGAGCGCGGCGAUCGUACACUGGAGAAAUAUGUGUCAUUUUUUCCGAGUGUCGAGGUGGGAAGUAAACUGCGGCGGGGGAAUAAUGAAGUCAAAACGGUCACGCUUACCCGCACAUCGAUGGAAAAUUAUAAUGAGCGGCGAGAAGAAGCAGCAGCAGGCGGCAGUUGAGCAGUUGAGCCGUCGAGGAAAACGAUGGAAAAAGAGCAGCAGAUGAUGGGGCAACCACGACGGACGUGAGAACGGAACGAACCGGCGAGAAGCCCCCGUCCACACAGGAACGAAAAAAGAAGGCGUCCAGCUAAAGAAACUUGAAAACUUUGAAAACCUCGUACCUCGAAUCGCCCAACCAUGCAAAUGAGACCGAAAGCGACCGGCGAUCGAGGGAUUUCCAUUUCCAUUCCGGGGUUCUUGAGGUUGCGAAUGGAACGCAGCGCUGGAGAAGCGGUGAUAAUGCAGCCCGCCGACAGCUCCCAUCCAUUAGUCCAUCGUCCAUCGUCCAUCGAUGUCGGAAAUACAUAUAUAACCUAAUAACCCCGAGCACGUAUGUGCAUAUCAACGAGAUGCAAUGGAUGUUUGACUGUGGAAUUUUCUUUUUAUGACUUCAGCUAAGCUCUUGCGGCCAAACGGACGGAAGUGCUCACAUUCUAAGCCAAAACGGACACCUUCUCUAAUAUACAUACUAAAUGCUAACACUACCAAACUAGCCACAUUAGGUCAUGAUUCAAUAGCAUGAACAGCCACUGGGUAUCGUAUAUCCCCACUUGCUGACCAAAACCAUAAUUUGCAUGUUUAAGUUGAGCCUGCCACCAGCGUUUUCAUCAUCACCACCACCACCAUCAUCAUCAGCAGCAGCAUACCAUAAGCAUCAUAAAAGGCGUUAUCAUUACCACACUACAACUCAUCAGCAUCAGACAAUCAUAUGUACAUACAUAUAUGUAUGUUUGCCGAAGGGUUUCUCGCCCGAUGAGAGGCAGCUGCUAGCUGCUUCUGCUGCUUCUGCUGCUGACCAGUUGAGUUGACCACUCGACAACCUUGACACAAAUGAAUGCGAAAAUCGAAGGACGAGCAGGACGAGGCGGCCCGCAGGGGGCGUGGCCGUCAUAACAACAACAUUACCAUUACCAAACCAACUAGCCAGCACUUCCAGUCCAGAAUGAGAGCGGUGGCAACAUCCAGCGAGUGGCUGCUACCUGUUCCCCACUCAUUUGCCUAAUAGAACAAUUAUCGACGCCUACAGCCCGUGGGGCUGUGCUGUGCGAUGGAAAUAGUCUGGCACCAUGGGUCCUUUCGGCCGAGACUUGGUCACGUCGGGAACCAGGAGCGCAGGAGGACACUAACUGGGUGUUGCACAGCCAUUACGAUGAUUGUGUCCAUGAUAGUGACGAUAAUUACCCUAACGACGGCAGCAAUAAUGGCCACAAGUUGGCCUGCUGCGCAAAUACCCUGUCGAUUAAACGGAAGCCUACAAUUACCAUUUCCACGGCAGCCGAGUGAUAUAAUAUGUACAUAUGUACAUUUUAAAUUAAUUUUAAUUUAAGAAAACUCAAAAUUUGAAAUCUUAAUACGUUUCUGGCACUUGCUAUUAGUAUAAUAGUUGAAAUAGUAGAGUUGUCCGAUCGGAAAUGGUUCGUCUAACUUACUGCCUGCAAUUACGGUCUUUCUCUAGUUGCGUAAGUUUUAAAACUUUGAGAUUAGUCUUCAAACGGACGGACAAACGGACGAACGGACAGACGGACGAACGGACAAACGGACGAACGGACGAACGGACCAACGGGCUAAGUUGUGAAAUUCUGAGCAAUGAAUAAAUCUGAGUAAUAAAAUUAUAAUUAUAAUUAUAAUUUAUAUCGAUAAACCAACUACAAAAGAUUUCGAUUUCA